CCACCCUCCAAGCCUAAGUACUCCUUACCGACCGAUAGCGAACCAGUACCGUGAGGGAAAGGUGAAAAGCACCCCGACAAGGGGAGUGAAAUAGACCUGAAACCGAAUGCCUACAAACAGUCGGAGCCCGCAAGGGUGACGGCGUACCUUUUGUAUAAUGGGUCUGCGACUUAGUCUGACGAGCAAGCUUAAGGCGAUAGCUGUAGGCGAAGCGAAAGCGAGUCUGAACAGGGCGUUCAGUUCGUCGGACUAGACCCGAAACCAGUCGAUCUAUCCAUGGCCAGGUUGAAAGUAGGGUAACACCUACUGGAGGACCGAACCGGUGCCUGUUGAAAAGUCUCGGAUGAGCUGUGGAUAGGGGUGAAAGGCCAAUCAAGGCUGGAAAUAGCUGGUUCUCCGCGAAAUCUAUUUAGGUAGAGCCUCGAGUGAAUACCCCAGGGGUAGAGCACUGGAUGGGCUA
rnacentral:rRNA from 1 species